AUUGAACGCUGGCGGCAUGCUUUACACAUGCAAGUCGAACGGCAGCGCGGGCUUCGGCCUGGCGGCGAGUGGCGAACGGGUGAGUAAUGCAUCGGAACGUGCCCAGUAGUGGGGGAUAGCCCGGCGAAAGCCGGAUUAAUACCGCAUACGACCUGCGGGUGAAAGCGGGGGACCGAAAGGCCUCGCGCUAUUGGAGCGGCCGAUGUCGGAUUAGCUAGUUGGUGGGGUAAAGGCUUACCAAGGCGACGAUCCGUAGCUGGUCUGAGAGGACGACCAGCCACACUGGAACUGAGACACGGCCCAGACUCCUACGGGAGGCAGCAGUGGGGAAUUUUGGACAAUGGGGGCAACCCUGAUCCAGCCAUGCCGCGUGCGGGAAGAAGGCCUUCGGGUUGUAAACCGCUUUUGUUCGGGAAGAAAACCUCUGGGCUAAUACCCCGGGGGGAUGACGGUACCGGAAGAAUAAGCACCGGCUAACUACGUG
rnacentral:rRNA from 1 species